ACGGAGGAUGCGAGCGUUAUCCGGAUUUAUUGGGUUUAAAGGGUGCGUAGGCGGCACGCUAAGUCAGCGGUGAAAUUUCCGGGCUCAACCCGGACUGUGCCGUUGAAACUGGCGAGCUAGAGUGCACAGGAGGCAGGCGGAAUGCGUGGUGUAGCGGUGAAAUGCGUAGAUAUCAGGAGGAACCCCGAUGGCGAAGGCAGCCUGCUAGAGUGCUACAGACGCUGAGGCACGAAAGCGUGGGUAGCAAACAG
rnacentral:rRNA from 1 species